rnacentral:rRNA from 1 species
AAAUAUUAACUCACACCCAUCAACGCCCGGGUACUACGAGCCCUAGCUUAAAACCCAAAGGACUUGACGGUGUCCCAUCCACCUAGAGGAGCCUGUUCUAUAAUCGAUAAUCCCCGCUAAACCCAACCUCCUCUUGCAAUCAGCCUGUAUACCUCCGUCGUAAGCUUACCAUAUGAAUGACCCCAGUAAGCUAAAUGAUUGUAACACCCCAAUACGUCAGGUCAAGGUGCAGCUCAUGAGAAGGCAAGCAAUGGGCUACAAUUUCUAAUCUAGAACAAACGAAACACUGCAUGAAACUCAGCUGUGAAGGCGGAUUUAGUAGUAAAAAGAAAAUAGCGUGUUCUUUUUAACUAGGCCCUGGGACGUGU